rnacentral:rRNA from 1 species
AGUGAACGCUGGCGGUAGGCCUAACACAUGCAAGUCGAACGGCAGCACAGUAAGAGCUUGCUCUUACGGGUGGCGAGUGGCGGACGGGUGAGGAAUACAUCGGAAUCUACUUUUUCGUGGGGGAUAACGUAGGGAAACUUACGCUAAUACCGCAUACGACCUACGGGUGAAAGCAGGGGGAUCUUCGAACCUUGCGCGUUUGAAUAAGCCGAUGUCGGAUUAGCUAGUUGGCGGGGUAAAGGCCCACCAAGGCGACGAUCCGUAGCCGGUCUGAGAGGAUGAUCAGCCACACUGGAACUGAGACACGGUCCAGACUCCUACGGGAGGCAGCAGUGGGGAAUAUUGGACAAUGGGCGCAAGCCUGAUCCAGCCAUACCGCGUGGGUGAAGAAGGCCUUCGGGUUGUAAAGCCCUUUUGUUGGGAAAGAAAAGCAGCAGGUUAAUACCCCGCUGUUCUGACGGUACCCAAAGAAUAAGCACCGGCUAACUUCGUG